UACGGAAGGCAGCAGUGGGGAAUAUUGCACAAUGGGCGAAAGCCUGAUGCAGCUAUGCCGCGUGUAUGAAGAAGGCCUUAGGGUUGUAAAGUACUUUCAUCGGGGAGGAAAAAACAAAACUAAUAAUUUUAUUUCUUGACGUUACCCGAAAAAGAAGCACCGGCUAACUCCGUGCCAGCAGCCGCGGUAAUACGGAGGGUGCUAGCGUUAAUCAGAAUUACUGGGCGUAAAGAGCACGUAGGUGGUUUUUUUAAAGUCAGAUGUGAAAUCCCUGGGCUUAACCUAGGAACUGCAUUUUGAAACUGAAAUACUAGAGUAUCGUAGAGGGAGGUAGAAUUCUAGGUGUAGCGGUGAAAUGCGUAGAUAUCUGGAGGAAUACCUGUGGCGAAAGCGGCCUCCUAAACGAAUACUGACACUGAGGGUGCGAAAAGCGUGGGGAGCAAAACAGGGAUUAGAUACC
rnacentral:rRNA from 1 species